rnacentral:rRNA from 1 species
GAUGAACGCUAGCGGCAGGCUUAAUACAUGCAAGUCGAGGGAGAGCACAGGUAGCAAUACUGGGUGGUAACCGGCAAACGGGUGCGGAACACGUACACAACCUUCCUUUAAGUGGGGGAUAGCCCAGAGAAAUUUGGAUUAAUACCCCGUAAUAUAGUUGAAUGGCAUCAUUUGAUUAUUAUAGCUACGGCGCUUAAUGAUGGGUGUGCGGCUGAUUAGAUAGUUGGCGGGGUAACGGCCCACCAAGUCUACGAUGAGUAGCUGAUGUGAGAGGAUGAUCAGCCACACGGGCACUGAGACGCGGGCCCGACUCCUACGGGAGGCAGCAGUAAGGAAUAUUGGUCAAUGGACGCAAGUCUGAACCAGCCAUGCCGCGUGAAGGAUUAAGGUCCUCUGGAUUGUAAACUUCUUUUAUUUGGGACGAAAAAGGGCCUUUCUAGGUCAACUGACGGUACCAGAUGAAUAAGCACCGGCUAACUCCGUGCCAGCCGCCGCCGUAACAC